rnacentral:rRNA from 1 species
AGCGAACGCUGGCGGCAGGCUUAACACAUGCAAGUCGAGCGGGCAUCCUUGUGGUGUCAGCGGCAGACGGGUGAGUAACGCGUGGGAACGUGCCCUUCGGUUCGGAAUAACUCAGGGAAACUUGAGCUAAUACCGGAUACGUGCGAGAGCAGAAAGGUUUAUCUGCCGAAGGAUCGGCCCGCGUCUGAUUAGCUAGUUGGUGAGGUUACGGCUCACCAAGGCGACGAUCAGUAGCUGGUCUGAGAGGAUGAUCAGCCACUGGGACUGAGACACGGCCCAGACUCCUACGGGAGGCAGCAGUGGGGAAUAUUGGACAAUGGGGGCAACCCUGAUCCAGCCAUGCCGCGUGAGUGAUGACGGCCUUAGGGUUGUAAAGCUCUUUUCUCCGGGACGAUAAUGACGGUACCGGAGGAAUAAGCCCCGGCUAACUUCGUG